rnacentral:rRNA from 1 species
UGCCAGCCGCCGCGGUAAUACGAAGGGUGCUAGCGUUGUUCGAAAUUACUGGGCGUAAAGAGUAUGUAGACGGUUUUUUAAGUUAAAAAUGAAAGCCCAAAGCUUAACUUUGGAAAUGUUUUUAAUACUGAUUAACUUGAGUUAGAUAGAGGAUAAUGGAAUUUCUAGUGUAGAAGUGGAAUUUGUAAAUAUUAGAAGGACCUCCAGUAGCGAAGGCGAUUAUCUGGGUCUAUACUGACGUUGAGAUACGAAAGCAUGGGGAGCAAACAGGAUUAGAUA